rnacentral:lncRNA from 1 species
CCCGGGCGGUCACAAAGUUUGAGAGGCUGAGUGGGGUCUAUAACGCAAGGAUACCUGGCUGUGCUUUGAGGCCGUGGCUAAAUUUAAAGUGCAUCCGGCCGGCUAAAUUUUGAGUUAAAAAGGUAUGGACGACAGGACCCAACUCUACCUGCGGAUUCUCUCCACUUACGUGUACGCACGUGGACAGUUUUUCUUUUAAAACAAAUAAUAAAAAAAAACUUUUUUCUUUCAUUUUGUUAUGAUAUGGCUAUGAAAACUUAAAUCUUUUCCUUUCCCCGUAAUUCUUGAAAGGGUGAUCACACGUUUUCCCUGAUGAUAAAUCUAUGAAAAUUUCAACCAUCUAUAGAAUAAUGGUGCAUUGAUUGGACUAAAAAUAGAGAAGAAAACUGGAUCCUACUUAUUUUUCUCAUCAUAAAUGAGCUACUUUUGCGUGAAGACCUACCGGCGGAUUUCACAAGAAAAUUGGCUCUCUUCUAUGAACGUCCACUUUGCAAUCGUGAAACUUAGAUCUUAGGUGACGCCAACAUUAUGCGACUGCUCUACAAGUGUAUACUGUCUUUUUGUUCUUUUUUUUUUCCUAUUGACACUUCUUACUUCCUGUAGCUGCUGCUCUUCUUUGCAGUUUGGUCAUUCCUAAUCAAGGCCGGCGGCUCCAGCUUUAGCCUCUCUUUCACCUAAAAAUAGAAAAAAAUACAAGCAUACCCAAAACUUUCUAAAUGGGACCAUUAUAGAAACUUGUUUCAUCUCCACUUCAAGGC